rnacentral:rRNA from 1 species
AGAGUGAACGCUGGCGGCAGGCCUAACACAUGCAAGUCGAACGGCAGCACAGAGGAGCUUGCUCCUUGGGUGGCGAGUGGCGGACGGGUGAGGAAUACAUCGGAAUCUGCCUAUUUGUGGGGGAUAACGUAGGGAAACUUACGCUAAUACCGCAUACGACCUACGGGUGAAAGCGGAGGACCUUCGGGCUUCGCGCAGAUAGAUGAGCCGAUGUCGGAUUAGCUAGUUGGCGGGGUAAAGGCCCGACCAAGGCGACGAUCCGUAGCUGGUCUGAGAGGAUGAUCAGCCACACUGGAACUGAGACACGGUCCAGACUCCGUACGGGAGGCAGCAGUGGGGAAUAGUUGGACAAGUGGGCGACAAGCCUGAUCCAGCCAUGCCGCGUGUGUGAAGAGGCCUUGGUGUAAGCUACUUUAGUACGGAAAGAAAGUCGUUACGGUUAACUACCGG